GCUGCAGCAAAAAUGCUGGAGGAGAUGCAAAAGAAGAAUGAGCAGAUGAUGGAGGAGAAAGAAAGGAGUUACCAGGAACAUGUGAAACAAUUGACUGAGAAGAUGGAGCAGGAGAAGGCCGAGUUAAAGGCAGAGCAAGAGAGGGUUCUGUCUCUUAAACUUCAGGAACAGGCCAAGUUACUAAAGGAAGGAUUUCAAAAUGAGAGCAGGCAACUUCAGAGAGAAAUAGAGAAUCUCAAGAAUAACAUGAAAAAUACCGGCGGCGGUGGUUGUAUCUUAAUCUAAAGACCUAAGGGAAAGCUUUUCUGAUCACUCUACCCAAGGCAUAACUCAAGCAGUUUUAGAAUCUGGAAAAAUGUCACAACUUGAGAAAAAGUGACCUUCUUUAAGCUGAUAAAAGAAAUCUACAAAAAGCCCUUCACCUAACAUACUUAAUGAUAAAAAAUGGAAUGCUUUGCCCCUAACACAGGAAUAAAGCAAGGAUGUGAAGUCUCCCCACUCCUGUUAAACAGUAUAAUGAAAGGCUUCCUACAAUAUGGCAAAAAGGAAGGAAG